CUCACACAUUGCCUCCUGGGCCAUCUCUGAGUGUGCAGCUGCUCAGAUAACCCUCAGUAUGACAUUGAGCAAAUCCCAUAACUCAUCAAACAGACAAUGCUGCCUGCCAGGCCAGGCUCUCGCACUAGCUCAACCGAUAACUAGGGCCCAGCAGAGGUGGAUGCUCCAGAGCUGCCCUGCCCACCAACACAGUACUGCUCUGUGCCAACCCUGGGCUGCGCACAGGGCAUCAAAAGAUUUUAAAAGCUGUACUUCCUGUAAGGUGUUUCAAGUUUAAUAGAAGAAAUUAGCUUUUUUUCCUUUCUUUUUUUUUUGGUACCAGGAAUCAAACUCAGAUACCUGCACUUGCCAGGCAGGCACGGUGCCACUGAGCUAAAUUCCUGGCUGACAAGAGGGGAAAUAAACUUCUGAGCCUCUACCCUGACAGACAAUGCUAAGGACUGUGAUGGAAUAGUGUCUAAAGGAAUAUGCGACACCAGGAAGUACUCAGUCACUUCCCCAGUUUGCCUCAGUUUCCUCAUCCAUCAAAUGAGGGAAAUUAGUUGCUUCCUGUCACGAGAUGAUUCCGGUGAGCUUGGUGGAAGUUUCAGUUCUCUGCCAGUCUUCCAUUUCCUUACCUGCCUUCCUGCUCCACCCAGCAAGGAGGAAGAGCAGGAUACAAGGCCUUGCACGGUGCUUGCACACACCACUUCUGCCAGCAUCCCAAGGACAAGAACUCAGGUCCACAGCAGCAUCUGGCUGCAGUGGAGGCCAAGCACUGCCCACUUCGUUUCCAGCAGCCAUGCGCGCAGCAGAAAAUCGGAGGUGUUUCCAUUAAGAGGCCACAGGUCGGCCUUCCAAAGGCAAAGAACUGUUGAAAUUAACCCAAGGCAGGGGCCAGUGGAGCAGACGGGGUCUGGGCUAGAGCCAGGCGUAAUGAAGUGGAAAAUGUUCACACCACAGGCAGCAUUACAAUGCACCUGUACAAACAGAACUCAGCCUGCCAUCCCUUCCUUCGGGGCCCAGCUGCCUCUCGGACUACUCUUUUAUGGCUUCACUCCUGGCCAUGCCUGGUCAACGUCAAGGUCUCUAAUGAAGAUAAGAGACAAAGGCCUCCAGAGAAGAGCUGGUAGAGAUGGAACAGAAGAGACGAAAAUGAGCAAAGGUACGCUCAGCACAGACAUCUCCUGAAAGUUCUGGGGAGUUCUCUGAAGACCAUGUUACCUAAAACAGGGAAGAACUACAGCACAGCUCAUGAAGAUUGAAGUUACGUGGCAAGAUUGAGGUAGAAAACUUUCACAUUGCUUGGCUCACUUCCCACACCCAUAUGAUCAGGCUCCAUUCUGCAGACAAGGAAACUGAGGCCCAGGGAGACAAAGCCAGCAGGUGACCAUGUCAAGAUUCAAGCCCAGGAACCAUGAUUUGUCUUCUGUACUCAGACCAGUGUUGAGUGAUGUUCUCAAAGCCACGCAGCUAUCAAGUGGGAAGCUGGAAGUCCUGGUGUGGUGGUUACUGCUCCACUAGGCAGCAGGAAGAGAACUUGGGGACAUCAAGGCCAGGCUGUCCUGAAGACUAGGCCAGUGAAGACAAGGGGCCUGGGUUUCCCCAGAGCAAGGCCUGUGGACCACAGUGCUACCAUGAGGGAAGAUGGGGAAAAGACAAACCAUAGUUCUUGACAUAGUGUGGCUCUACGUCUCCCAAUUUCACAAGGGCUCAGUUUGUCCCUUCCUGAGAUGGACCUUCCAUGGGCACUAAAUAGAAGGACUUUGUAAGGCACUUCCAAGGUCUAUUGCUCUUCACUCCUCUCAGACUCAACCUUAAGUCACACCCAACUCUAAUUGUCAUAACCAGAAGCUUUCUUACCACCAUGGGGGGCGGAGGGACAAAGGUCAAAAGUAGACAUCAUUACAACUGCCACAUACCUGGCCCUCACCUCUCAUUGCCAUCUUCUUAAACAUCAGUGGUUAGGGGCAUAAAGAGAGGGAAUGGAGAUAGUUACUCCCCACAGGGAGUCUGACAUAUAGCAGGCCCUCAGUGAUCACUAACACCUUUGACAAGCUAUGGGUUCUUUGCAGAUCAGAACCUGCUGCUUUAUAGCAUCCAAUCAUAGUGUCAUGCAGCCUGCAGUAACUGCCUAGUGAAUGCCUGUCUGUUGAGUGCAGGAGCUUUUCCGUCGCUCCCAUCCUCCUGGUUUAGGCAACAUCCAGGACUGUGUUUGGGCCUUUCUAAAUGCCCUGGGGCCAGUUUGACGCACAUCUCCCGGGGUGCCUCAUGGCUUCUCAGAGUUCAACCUCACCUAAUUCAAACUUAGCAGUAAGCUAUGUUUGCCAUUCUUCAUGGUUGAUGUUUAUAUGGCUGCUCUGAACUUUUAUAAUUAUUACUGUUUAAUUUAAAAAGAAGUUUAAAUUUUGCAAUGUACAAAAAAGUCAAGAUUGCCAUGUUUUGGUAAAAUGCUUCAUUCUUCAGUUUUCCCCAUUCGAUACACUUUCUCUGGUCCCUAUGUGGUAGGCAGCAUAAGGACCUCACUGUCCCUGGAGAAACAGACAUUGAAAUAAGCACAUUUAAUACAUUAUGAUUCCUGAAAUACUGAAAACUGCAGAGAGAAACUAGUUACAAGUGUGGAGAGUUAGCCUCCAUUUUGUCUUGAAAAGUGUUUAUCUAAGCCGGUAAUGCCAUAUACCAUAUGGCCCUAACUGCAUCAAGUGGCCUCCAUCUUCAGGGCUGAGGAGAUCCAAAGACAUGGCCUGUUUUCUUCCUGCAUCUUGAGGGAAUAAACAGAUGAGUACAGUUUAGGGCAAGAUUUCCCAAGUCAAUUCUACUACCUUAUGGGCAGGGCCAUGUUGGAAUAAGUCAAGGUUCUAGUAGAAAAUUAACGCCAGAAGAUCAGGAGGAUACCACAGGAUGAAAGAAAAGAAUCUCUCUCUCUCUCUCUCUCUCUCUCUCUCUCUCUCUCUCUGCAGAUUUCCCUCAUCUUUGUGAUUCUUACUGAAACCUGGAAGUAACUCUUUCAAGAAAGAGUUUAAGUGAUUUCAAGAGCACCCAGCCAGGGCAGGUGUUUCCCGUGGCUAGGAGGACACUCCUACUCCUUCAUGCUCCUGCUUGAGCAUCCCUUCUCUAAUUUACUGUGAGGCUCUUGACCACAGUAGCACUUCCUAUGACCAUCCUCUAGUGGCAGCAAGUUUCACAAGACAUAUGAUAUGUCGUCUUCAACCUUAUAGUUCUAGUAGGCGAGUGUCCUGACCAGCCCAAAGUAAGUGCUUCAUAAGUAUUUGUCAUCUGAAUAGAUGACUGAGUGGAUGAAUAAUGCCACGUUCAUUUACAAGCGCACUGUGGUUUUAUCUUUCUCGGAAAUAUUAUAACCCACUUGCUCCUAAACAGAUUUUUCAAAAUCACAUUCUAUGAAAUGUUACCAAUUCAUGAGAUAAUUUUACUGAACUAAUAAAAAGUUAAAAAAUAAGAAAUAGGGAUUCUUUUUGUUUUCAAACAAAAUUUAUCACAUAUACAUAAGAAGAGUUCAUUACCGUCACAGUG
ensembl:lncRNA